rnacentral:lncRNA from 1 species
GGCCAUUCCCUACCGCCCACCGUGACAUCUAACCCUCCCUGUGCUGUAGUGAAGAGCUUCAGUCUGAUCCGCGCGCUCCCUUGGCGGGGACUGCUUCCAACUGAGUAAGAGACUGAAGCUGAAGCAUACGAAAAGAAAUGCAGCCUGAAAGUGCCAAGGAGUGACUGUUUUCGCGGAGAACCGGGAUUGGAAAGAGGGAGACGUUUGCAUCGGAGAGGAGGUUGCAUUGUUGGAAGAGGACCAUGUCAUUGGACUUUGGCAGUGUGGCCCUACAAACACAAAACGAAGAUGAAGAAUAUGACAAAGAAGACUAUGAAAGGGAGAAAGAGUUGCAGCAGCUGCUCACAGACCUUCCUCACGACAUGCUGGAUGACGACCUCUCCUCCCCCGAGCCCCAGGACUCGGACUGCAGUGAGGACGACCCGGCGGGACGGUGAGGACCCGCCUCACUUUUCCUGGUGUAUUCCAUUCUCUAAGGCUUUUUCCUUUAACUCUCUGCCGGUCAUAAUGUACAUGAUUAUAAAAUUGCAGACUGAUUCUUAAAUUUGGGGGUGCAAGUUGCAGGGAAAAGCAACAAAUGGUAAACAAUAAACACUGGACUCUUGGUGUUCUUCUCUAUCCAAAUAAAUGGUAAGCUUCAAAUCUAAAUUACUGAUUGUUUUCUCAAGACCACACCCUUCUGAGCAGUUGGAGAUGCACUGGAAUACGCACCGAGUGCUGCCCAGAUCUCCAAGUGCAAAUGGUUAUGUAGGAGAGACGUGUGGCCAUGGCUGGGAAGAAAAUCAAAGUCAAGCUAAAGACCGACAUCCUGGGUACCGCCCGGAGGAAGGUGGUGAUGAAGGCGGAAGUGGUUAUAGUCCCCCAGGCAAAUGUGAACAGACCGAUUUGUAUCACCUGCCGGAGAACUUCAGGCCAUAUACGAAUGGUCAGAAGCAGGAGUUCAAUACCCAGCCGACCAAUGUAAUUAAAUUUUCAGAUCCUCCAAGGAACCAUUUUCAGCAAUUUGGUUCAACACAAGGUCCUAGUGGUCAAGCUUUGGACCCAUAUAAAGUGACAUAUAAACCGUAUCAACCUUCUGUCCAGAAUAAUGGCUCGCCAAGCCAGGAGAUAGUGGGAAGUGACACGUUUGAAGGCCUGCAACAACAAUUUUUAGGAGCUAAUGAAAAUUGUGCAGAGAAUAUGCAGAUUGUUCAGCUUCGGGUUCUUAACAAAGCAAAAGAGAGACAGCUGGACAACUUAGCUGAGAAAUUAAAUGAAAGUGAACGUCAAAUCCGCUACCUGAAUCACCAGCUUCUGAUAAUCAAAGAUGAGAAAGAUGGUUUGACCCUCAGCCUUCGAGAAUCACAGAAGCUCUUUCAGAGUGGGAAGGAAAGGGAGAUACAGCUUGAAGCACAAAUCACAGCACUGGAGACCCAAAUACAAGCAUUAAAAGUCAACGAAGAAAAGCUGAUCAAGAAGUCCCGGACAACUGAAAUGGCUCUGGAGAGCUUGAAGCAGCAACUGUUGGACCUUCGUCACUCUGAGUCACUCCAGCGAGCCCGAGAACAGCACGAGAGCAUUGUCACGGGCCUCACGAAGAAGUAUGAGGAGCAGGCGUUGUCCUUACAGGAGAAUUUGGAUGCUACGGUUGCUGCCCUUAAGGAACAGGAAGACAUCUGCUCUCAUUUAAAAGACCACGUGAAACAGCUGGAAAGGAAUCAAGAAGCUACCAGAGUGGAGAAGACCGAGGUCAUCAGCAGGCUGUCGAGGAGCCUGGAGGAGACGCAGAAGCAGUGCGCCCACCUGCUGCAGUCAGGCUCCAUCCAAGAGGUGGCCCAGUUGCGGCUCCAGCUGCAGCAGGCACAGAAAGCACAUGUGCUGAGUGAAAACAUGAACAAGGCCCUACAGGCGGAAUUAACAGAACUAAAAGAUGAAAUUUCUCUCUAUGAAUCUGCUGCAAAACUAGGAAUACUCCCAAGUGACUCAGAAGGAGAAUCAAAUAUAGAACUUGGUGAAUCAUAUGUGGAUUUGGGUAUUAAAAAUGUCAACUGGAAAAAAUCCAAAGUUAACAGCACUGUGCAGCAGGAAGACCUUAAUGAGGAGCUUUCCAAGGAUGAGGUCAUCCUGAGGCUGAAGGCGGAUGUGCAGCGUUUGCUGGACAGCAACUCAGUGAAGCGUCACCUGGUGUCUCAGUUACAGAGUGACCUCAGGGCCUGUCACCAGGAAAUCGAGAAUCUCCAGCAAGUGAAGAAGGAUGGCAGGAGUGUGGAGGUUGAGAUGAAAAUUGAUACCUUAGAAAAACCAGUGACUCCAUUAUGGCCUGACUCUUCUUCUGAUGUGAUUGUCCAAGAUGAUGUUCUCCAGCUUAAAAAUGAAAUUCAAGUUUUACAACAACAAAAUCAGGAACUUAAAGAAGCCGAAGAAAAGCUGAGAAAAACAAAUCAGGACUUGUGUAGUCAAAUGAGACAAAUGCUACAGGAUUUUGACCGUGAUAAACAGGAAGUUGAGGAUAGGUGUGAGCGGACUUACCAGCAGCACCACGAAGCCAUGAAAGCCCAAAUCCGUGAGAUCCUGUUAGCAAAGCACACUUUGGAGAAGCAGCAGCUCUUUGAGGCUUAUGAAGGGACUACCUUGCAACUCCGGUGA